rnacentral:rRNA from 1 species
UACGGGGGGGGCAAGCGUUGUUCGGAAUUACUGGGCGUAAAGGGUUCGUAGGUGGCCAACUAAGUCAGACGUGAAAUCCCCAGGCUCAACUUGGGAACUGCGUCUGAUACUGGAUGGCUUGAAUUCGGGAGAGGGAUGCGGAAUUCCAGGUGUAGCGGUGAAAUGCGUAGAUAUCUGGAGGAACACCGGUGGCGAAGGCGGCAUUCUGGACCAUAACUGACACUGAGAGACGAAAGCCAGGGGAGCAAACGGG